UUGGCGUUUACUUCCGAAUUUUAUUUAAGUUAAUAUUUCAUGUUUCGGUAUUCCCAAGUUUCACUGUAUUCAUUCAGCUUUUUGUUAUGUCCUAGUCCUAGUCCACAGACACAUACCAACAGUUGCUUCCAUUGAAAAAAAACGAUUAAACAUUCAGCAACUUGGGUAAACAGUUAAAUAAUUGGUCUCUUACUAAAUUAAGUCAUUUCAGGAACUUCAGCAUGUUCUUCAGUAUAUUGAAACAGUGCCAACCCACCUGUGCCAAACUACAUGUUUACAACUGGAGUAAAUGUAGCAUGGAUCAACUUACAGUGACCAACUUGUGGCUAGAGUCGAUACUUACAAGGGUAUUAGUUGCAAACUUGCAAUGCUUCCUGACAUGGCAAAUUAUUCCAUAGCAGAAAUAGAUGCUAUGUGUUGAAAAGCUAGUGUUUUUCCACUGUGAUGGA